GCUGGGCAUGGUGGCGCAUGCCUGUAAUCCCAUUGGCUCAGGAGGCUGAGGCAGGAGGAAAAAAACACUUUUUUUU
rnacentral:sRNA from 1 species